GUUGUACUGUGCUGUCCUGAGUGGGGGCACAUUUCCAAGGCUGCGGUAAAUAGCAGGAUCCCGUCCAGAGAAAUCAAUUACAGUUGCAGCAUAGAGUUCUCCUCGUGAUGUAAUCACAGCUGUUGAGUUAUGCCGGGGGUCAUAUGGGCACCGAGCCACUCCAUUAAUUCUGUCAAUGAUUUUGCUAAGAUUUCCUACCUGACGGCUGGAACACACUGGUGAAAAGGCAUUGGUACCACAGGUAAAAACCUUCUUGCCAUAAACAAUCAGCACUCGGACAUAGUUCUGGCACUCCUCCUCUGUUUUCCCUUUACUUUGACAGGACCUCCUGGUGUCUUCAUCUGAACCCCAUGCUGUUGCCUGAAUAAGAGAAACGUUGUGUAGACUAAGUCUGAAGAGGUAGUUCCUUGCUCCCACAAUGAGCUGGUUCCUGUUGGC
rnacentral:lncRNA from 1 species